AUUGAACGCUGGCGGCAGGCCUAACACAUGCAAGUCGAACGAGUGGCGGACGGGUGAGUAAUGUCUGGGAAACUGCCUGAUGGAGGGGGAUAACUACUGGAAACGGUAGCUAAUACCGCAUACCAUCGGAUGUGCCCAUAUGGGAUUAGCUAGUAGGUGGGGUAAAGGCUCACCUCGGCGACGAUCCCUAGCUGGUCUGAGAGGAUGACCAGCCACACUGGAAAUGAGGCACGGUCCAGACUCCUAGGGGAGGCAGCAGUGGGGAAUCUUGCACAAUUGGCGCAAGCCUGAUGCAGCCAUGCCGCGUGUAUGAGUAAGGCCUUCGGGUUGUAAAGUACUUUCAGCGGGGAGGCGUUACCCGCAGAAGAAGCACCGGCUAACUCCGGGCCAGCAGCCGCGGUAAUUC
rnacentral:rRNA from 1 species